rnacentral:rRNA from 1 species
ACCCAGACUCCUACGGGAGGCAGCAGUGGGGAAUCUUCCGCAAUGGGCGAAAGCCUGACGGAGCAACGCCGCGUGAUCGAAUGAGGGCCUUCGGGUUGUAAAGAUCUGUUGACAGGGACGAAUAAGCAAUGCGAAUAGUUUUGUGUAUGACGGUACCUGUUUAGAAAGCUCCGGCUAACUACGUGCCAGCAGCCGCGGUAAUACGUAGGGGGCAAGCGUUAUCCGGAUUUACUGGGUGUAAAGGGAGCGUAGACGGUGAGACAAGUCUGGAGUGAAAGCCCGGGGCUCAACCCCGGGACUGCUUUGGAAACUGCCUGACUGGAGUGCUGGAGAGGCAAGCGGAAUUCCUAGUGUAGCGGUGAAAUGCGUAGAUAUUAGGAAGAACACCAGUGGCGAAGGCGGCUUGCUGGACAGUAACUGACGUUGAGGCUCGAAAGCGUGGGGAGCAAACAGGAUUAGAUACCCGCGUAAA